AGACGUCUACAUUAGAUACCCGUGUAGUCCAGGGUGUAAACGCUGCAGACUUGGUGUUGGAGGCCCGUUGGGGGCAUUCAGUGCCGGAGAGAAGUUGUUAAGUCUGCUACUUGGGGAGUACGUCCGCAAGGAUGAAACUUAAAGGAAUUGGCGGGGGAGCACCGCAACGGGAGGAGCGUGCGGUUUAAUUGGAUUCAACACCGUAAACUCACCAGGGAAGACUGUUACAUGAAAGCCGAGAUGAAGACUCUGCUAGAUUUUCAG
rnacentral:rRNA from 1 species